rnacentral:lncRNA from 1 species
UUUUUACUCAUCCUCUAAGAAACGCAGAGAUACUAAGGCAAAAACACCCGAGUUUCUUGAAGAAAUAAAAUCCGAAUCUAGAAAGCAACUUUGAGAGUGAAUAGCUGUUGUCCAAAGCUCUUUCCUAAUGAACCCACUUAAACAUGAGACAUUGAUCAAUAGAAGAGAAUGCUGGGCUAAUAAUCAAACUUUCAGGGUUCUCACCUCACAGGCCCUCCUGCGGUUCAGUGAAUGUCCUAGGAGUUGAGGAUCAUGUGUUUCAACCAAUCCACGGUUGUUUCCUUUUGAGAAAAAUAGAUAUAGGGAAAAAAAUAGACAAGUCUUUUAGCCUUCUAGCAGAGUCACAGUUAUAAAUUGGUCCAUUUCUCCUUUCACAGAAAACCCAGCUGCUAUCUUCAAGACCAUCUUCUCACAUGAUUACCUUUCCCAGAUAGCUUUUCAUUUUCCAGGGUGCCUCAAAGAAAGCC